rnacentral:rRNA from 1 species
UNUCCGUAGGUGAACCUGCGGAAGGAUCAUUACUGUGAUUUACUACUACACUGCGUGAGCGGAACGAAAACAACAACACCUAAAAUGUGGAAUAUAGCAUAUAGUCGACAAGAGAAAUCUACGAAAAAACAAACAAAACUUUCAACAACGGAUCUCUUGGUUCUCGCAUCGAUGAAGAGCGCAGCGAAAUGCGAUACCUAGUGUGAAUUGCAGCCAUCGUGAAUCAUCGAGUUCUUGAACGCACAUUGCGCCCCUCGGCAUUCCGGGGGGCAUGCCUGUUUGAGCGUCGUUUCCAUCUUGCGCGUGCGCAGAGUUGGGGGAGCGGAGCGGACGACGUGUAAAGAGCGUCGGAGCUGCGACUCGCCUGAAAGGGAGCGAAGCUGGCCGAGCGAACUAGACUUUUUUUCAGGGACGCUUGGCGGCCGAGAGCGAGUGUNGCGAGACAACAAAAAGCUCGACCUCAAAUCAGGUAGGAAUACCCGCUGAACUUAA